UGGGGAAUAUUGCACAAUGGAGGUAACUCUGAUGCAGCGACGCCGCGUGAACGAAGAAGGCUUUCGAGUCGUAAAGUUCUUUUAUAUGGGAAGAUAAUGACGGUACCAUAAGAAAAAGCCCCGGCUAACUACGUGCCAGCAGCCGCGGUAAUACGUAGGGGGCUAGCGUUGUCCGGAAUCACUGGGCGUAAAGGGUUCGCAGGCGGAAAUGCAAGUCAGGUGUAAAAGGCAGUAGCUUAACUACUGUAAGCAUUUGAAACUGCAUAUCUUGAGAAGAGUAGAGGUAAGUGGAAUUUUUAGUGUAGCGGUGAAAUGCGUAGAUAUUAAAAAGAAUACCGGUGGGGAAGGCGACUUACUGGGCUCAUUCUGACGCUGAGGAACGAAAGCGUGGGUAGCAAACAGG
rnacentral:rRNA from 1 species